AGUCGGCUAGGCGGUCUCCCUACU
rnacentral:siRNA from 1 species